AUUGAACGCUGGCGGCAGGCCUAACACAUGCAAGUCGGGCGAACGAGGCUUCGGCCAAGUGAGCGGCGAACGGGUGAGUAACACGUAGGAAUCUGCCUGGUAGUGGGGGACAACGUCUCGAAAGGGACGCUAAUACCGCAUACGCCCUACGGGGGAAAGCUGGGGAUCUUCGGACCUAGCGCUAUCAGAUGAGCCUGCGUCGGAUUAGCUAGUUGGUAGGGUAAAGGCCUACCAAGGCGACGAUCCGUAACUGGUCUGAGAGGAUGAUCAGUCACACCGGAACUGAGACACGGUCCGGACUCCUACGGGAGGCAGCAGUGGGGAAUAUUGGACAAUGGGGGCAACCCUGAUCCAGCCAUGCCGCGUGUGUGAAGAAGGCCUUCGGGUUGUAAAGCACUUUAGGUCGGGAGGAAGGUUCGCUGGCUAAUAUCCGGCGGAAUUGACGUUACCGACAGAAUAAGCACCGGCUAACUUCGUGCCAGCCGCCGCAGUAA
rnacentral:rRNA from 1 species